rnacentral:pre_miRNA from 1 species
UGGACAGAUUAUUGUAUUCGACUGUAUUCACGGCGUGAAACAGGGGAUUACACUGUUUUAAACGGAAAGUGAAUCAAUUAACAUAAUAGACUCCU